rnacentral:piRNA from 1 species
UGCAGAUGAUAACCUAACUGGAUGUGUACA